rnacentral:rRNA from 1 species
GUAGGUGGCAAGCGUUGUCCGGAAUUAUUGGGCGUAAAGCGCGCGCAGGCGGUUCUUUAAGUCUGAUGUGAAAGCCCACGGCUCAACCGUGGAGGGUCAUUGGAAACUGGAGAACUUGAGUACAGAAGAGGAAAGCGGAAUUCCACGUGUAGCGGUGAAAUGCGUAGAGAUGAGGAGGAACACCAGUGGCGAAGGCGGCUUUCUGGUCUGUAACGGACGCUGAGGCGCGAAAGCGUGGGGAGCAAACAGGGAUUAGAUACCCUGGUAGUCCACGCCGUAAACGAUGAGUGCUAAGUGUUAGGGGGUUUCCGCCCCCUUAGUGCUGCAGCUAACGCAUUAAGCACUCCGCCUGGGGAGUACGGCCGCAAGGCUG